rnacentral:rRNA from 1 species
UACAGGGGUCUCAAGCGUUGUUCGGAUUCAUUGGGCGUAAAGGGUGCGUAGGCGGCGCGGUAAGUCGGGUGUGAAAUCUCGGGGCUUAACUCCGAAACUGCAUUCGAUACUGCCGUGCUUGAGGACUGGAGAGGAGACUGGAAUUUACGGUGUAGCGGUGAAAUGCGUAGAUAUCGUAAGGAAGACCAGUGGCGAAGGCGGGUCUCUGGACAGUUCCUGACGCUGAGGCACGAAGGCCAGGGGAGCAAACGGG